UUCCUACGGGGGGGCAGCAGUGAGGAAUAUUGGUCAAUGGGCGGGAGCCUGAACCAGCCAAGUCGCGUGAGGGAAGACGGUCCUAUGGAUUGUAAACCUCUUUAGGCGGGGAGCAAUGCCGGGCACGCGUGUCCGGAGGGAGAGUACCCGCAGAAUAAGCAUCGGCUAACUACGUGCCAGCAGCCGCGGUAAUACGUAGGUGGCAAGCGUUAUCCGGAAUUAUUGGGCGUAAAGAGCGCGCAGGUGGUUAAUUAAGUCUGAUGUGAAAGUCCACGGCUUAACCGUGGAGGGUCAUCGGAAACUGG
rnacentral:rRNA from 1 species